UCAUGUGACUCUAAAUUUUAUCA
rnacentral:siRNA from 1 species